UUUGUCCCAUACACAGAAUGUGCCUGGAGCUGUUGGCACUAUGGAGGGUGGAGAAAGAAAUAUUUCUCAUUGGCUCCAUGCAGAUGAAGAAACAUAAUCCCAAAUGCAGCUCCCUGGCUCUUCCACAUGCGAACAUUUGAAUUUCCUGUUGGCUCAGAGUGUUUGCAUUGCAAGUGACAUCUGGCUGACAGGAACUUGGAGAAAUGGGAUACGAAGUGAAUGCUGUAGUUACCACAGCAUCAUAUUUAUCAAAAGGCUUAAGCGGCAGCACAAAAAUGUAGAAAGAGAGAAGGAAAAAUGAUUCUCAGCUGCAUUGGAAAAAUAAAAUGUUGCACAACAUUCUGCUAAACAAGGACCCCAAAUUACAGACACUUGGAGGAAUUUGAGACAUAAUAUUUAGGCAUGAUAUCAUGGUGAAAUUCUAAGGAGACAUUCAUUGCCUCUCCUAGGAGAGAAGGAAGAAUUAAGUCCUAGAUGCAGUUGUACACAGUACUGGUAAAACAACAAAUCCUGUCAGUGUUCUCAUAGAAGAUAAUUGAGAUGCAAAGUACUCACAGCAUUGUGAACUGGCCAAAGCUGCAUUUGUGCAAAUACUAUGAUGCCCAAUUCAUCUCGUCAGUGAUGGGCUGCAGUAAAGGAGCAAGUGAGAACUUCUCUGGGUCACUGCUGCAGAAACUGUGCAGAGCCCUGUGUCCCUAUGCUGCUCUAUGGGGCUGCUUCUGACUUACUGCACAAAUCCAUUCCGCUGUUCUCUGGGCCAGGAGAGUUACCGGGAGGCAUGGCACUGCUUUGCUUCCUCUUUCCCUCCUAGCCUGGUCAAGCUGAUCCCUCAGAUAAGGGAAGAAGCUGAAAGUGCCAGGCUUAAAAAUAUGAGGUUCUUUUGGAGUAUGCUCAGUGGACGUUUGCAGUGAACAUAUGCAAAGUUGGACACUUGUUUACUGUUGACUGCACAGCCAGUAACACAAAUGUGGAGCACACAAUAGAACAUGUCUGUCUAAUCAGUAGAAAUGUGUUGUCUCCUUCACAUUCCCCUUUCUGCAGGUACAGGUAGAGACUGUAUCUGUGGGACUAUUCAACAAGCUGUUAUUAUCGAGAUUGUCUCAAUGAGAAUUUUUGCCAAGAUUACUAAAACUUUCCUGACCCAACCCAUUCAGCCUUCAGUUUAUGUAGGUAAUAACAGAGAAAGUGCUAGUUUAAAAUAAUAAUAAUAAUAAUUCCUGAGUGACCUCAUAGGGUAGUUUCAUCUUCUUACUUAUUUCCUUGUCUUGGAUGGAACAGCACAGAAUGUGAUGAUGCAUCUUUAAAAGUGUUUGAAGUCAAGAUGGAAAGAGGUGGAAGUGAAGUAGAAUAGGACAGGCCAGGUAAUUCUAUGGAAGCAAAUUUUCUUGGAAUUGAAUUUCCUUUUCCAUUGUUACACCCUGAACCUUUACUGCUGAAAGUGACUUUGUCAGCACCCAAUUCCAAAGUAGACUCCUCAAAAAAUCAAAGAAGAGAAAAAUGCGGAAAUAUGGCUGUCUAGAAGUUAAAAUACUUUGAAUUCAGUACUUCAUUGGUAUUUUUAGUAUUUUAUUCUAUUGCAAAUACUCCUGGCUUUCUGAUGGAAUGAAGAACAAAGAACAGGUUAAAUAAUGUAAAAAGAUUGAGGGGGGAGGGUGGAACUGGUUCGAUUAUGUACACUAAUUGCAAGUUGUUUGUUUUUUUUUUUUUUCCCUUCUCUAACUAUGUUUUUAAGAUGAAUUCCUUCUAUAAAUCCACUAUGGUAACUUCUGUUACAAUAAAAUUUUGUUAAAUUUUUUAUGCUACUAGAGAUACGACCUUAGAAAACUAAACUGUGGUGGCAACUCAGGAAAGACAAUUUCUUCUGCCUUUCACUUUUUUUGUCUUAAGACUGACAGAAGAGCAACAAGACUUCAAGAAUGUUGUGUAACAAGGCUGUAGCUUUACAUAAUGUUCCAAGGAACUAUCAGACAAUAAUUCAUCCAGCACAGAUCAUCCAUCCUAUCAUAAUCCACUUUGCCAAGGGCCUCUGUCAGCUCUCUACCUCAUUAACCAGGCACAGCACCUUUGUGGAGAUUUCACUGCUCUCUCCUCAUGCAAAGCAGAGGGGAUUGACUCCUCACUGUUCAAGGGAUUCAGAGCUUCAGCCUCUUCUUCAACUCCUUUUAGUAGAUGCUUUCCCUAUGCAAUUUCGAUUCUGACUUUCUAAAUGGACAAGAAGCUGUUCCAAGAAAUUCUCUACAAACAAGAAUUUGCUGAAUUGCAACCCUUCCUUCCUCUUUCAGGAGGAGAAAAGAAAAAGAAUGUCUGUCACAUGCACUCACCAUGAAGGUGUUUCUCUUCUCAGGUCUGCGGAGACUGUGCUGAGGGUUCUAAAGUACAGAACCUAUUGAAAUUGGAGAUAUGAGGCAAGGAUUGUAAGUUCUUUUGAGUUAUUUUAUUUGGAAGUAGGAGAGUGGGAGCUAAGAAUGGGAAAGGGAAAAAAGGCUUAGCAUAUACUAGGUCAGGAUUUCUUCAUGCUCUUCUCUGUUAGAGCAUACAAAGAGAACACUGUUAGUGCUGGUAUCUCAUAGUCUCUGGCAGCUUCAAAAUUGGAACUGCCUCAGCUCAGACAAAGCUUUUCCAUUUCUUGGGCUCCCAGAAUGGAUUGUAACCUUCUACAAGACUUUGCAUACCGCUUUGAAAGCUGGAUAUCUUUCAAGACAGUUGUUGUUAUUGUUUUUGUUGGCUAU